rnacentral:lncRNA from 1 species
AGAGCUUGUGGUGUAACCCCAGUCAAGCACAGUUGCUGGCAUGACAAUAUGAACGUGUCACCCACCAAGAGGAGCCAUUCUUUCCCGAUGCCAGUUGACUCAUGCCUAUUGCUGUUCUAUCAGGGGUGGAAUAUCAUGACUCACGGCUUCAUAGCCACCGGUGGAAACCCACCUCACACCAAACCAUUUUCUUCCCAGCUCUCUUGAGUAAGAUAGACAUGGGCUGAUCAAGUCUCCAGUCUGCCACAUGCAGGAGAAGACUUCAAUGACAAGUCGACAGGCAUCACACACUUUGGUUUUUGAGAUGGGGUCUCUCAUCAGUCGCUCCUUGCCUAUGAGUCUCAGUGGGCUGAUGUGAGCUCGGGCAGCGAGCUCACGCGCCUAUGCACAGCCCUGUUCACGGGAGCUCUGAGGCUCAAACUCAAGACAGCACCACAAGCACUUUAUGGACUGAGAUGCUC